ACUGAACUAGCAACAGCCUUUUCAGUUUCAGGUCUGUUGCAAUCUUCAACAAAUAAAUAAUUUAGAGUUCUGGACUGAACUAGCAACAGCCUUUUCAGUUUCAAGUCUGUUGCAAUCUUCAACAAAUAAAUAAUUUAGAGUUCUGGACUGAACUAUGGUACUUGACUUUAAGUUUAUUGGAUUACUAACUCUAAUAUCAAUGCCUCACACUCUCACAGCCCUUUGUUAUAUUAAUAGUGCGAUCAUAUUCUUGGUACACGUAAUUGAAUAUACAAGUCCCAC
rnacentral:lncRNA from 1 species